CUGGCAGAUUUUGGUCUGUCCAGGGUUUCCACCAGUGUUCUGAUGAGCUCUGAAGAAAUGUCCACAGUGAAAGGAGGCACAUAUCAGUACAUGCCUCCAGAGUCUUUUGAUCCAUCAUAUAAGCCUGUUCGUAAAUUUGACAUAUACAGCUAUGGUAUUCUUCUGUGGUCUAUUAUUUGCGGGAAAAAGCCUUUUCCAGAUGCUACUCUAGCUCUUUUGGCACUGAAGAUCCCAAAGGGGGACAGACCUCCCUGUAAAGAAAUAGACCAGACAAAGGCAGAAGGGCUGAGAGAGGUGGUUGGCCUCAUGAAGAGGUGCUGGGAUGGAGAUCCAUCCAAGAGGCCAGACUUUGGAGAGUGUGAUGAAAUCACUAAGGAUGUGUUCUCAAAGCACAGGGCGGGGAUUCACCGGGCAGUCGGACAAGUCAUGGAAAAAUUGGAUUCACAACGUGGUAAUCAAUAUCCUGACACAUGUGGUCCACUCGGUGUUAAUCAUGAGAUGCCAGGACAGUCAAAGUCAAAUGAUAAAGUUGAUGGAAGAACUGAAAUGCAGAAUAUGCAACUUGGUCAUCAAGAUUCCAACAUGUCACGUCCAUCUGGUUUCACUGCUGAGAUGCCAGGACCGCCAGCAUCAAAUGAUACUGUGGACAUCCCAUUGCAGCAGAAUAAUGUGAGCAGUUCUGCUAGAAAUCUGACUGAAAAUGAAAAAGCAGCAGACUUUGUUGAUAGAAACAGGGCACAGUUAAUCCAAGAAGUUUCUGAAGUGCUGGCGAUAGCAGAAGAGCUUGGAGACCUGGUCCAUCCUGAAGCCUAUUCAAAGAUUCGAGCUACACCGACAAGUCAAGAUAAAAUGAGGGAGCUCUUUGAAAGAACACUGCGUUCAGGAGGGUGGAGGGUCAAAGCAGCCUUCUUUAAUGCCCUUAAAAAACAUCAUCCAAAACUAGUGGAGAGGCUUGGUGGCUAGUUCAAAGGAAGAGAAAGAGGAAAAAAGGAAGAAAAAGAAGAGACAAUGGUGUCAUUCCUAUAAUCAUCCCAUUUAUUAGGGAUGAGUUGGACAGCCUUAUCAGGAUCCUUUGUACAGAUUUGUAUACAAAGUGAAUGACACCGGUUUCCUAGACAGACUCUCUUCGUUGUCCUGUUACUAAGAAUCUUCACUCUAAAAGAAAGAGGGAUGUGAGAGACAAAUAAAAAUCCAGCAAGCAAGAACACACCACACCUAUUAACACCAGCUGAAACAGCAAGCCAUCAUGGGAUAUGAGUGAAUACUCCUCAGUUUACUUAAAGAAAGGGGUUUGCUUAAUGCGUGACACAGAUCAUUGUCCUAUUGUGCUUUGCAAGCACUAGUUCUUUGUGCUUUCAAAGGAUUGUGUUGGAUGUUAAUAGUCUGCAUUAAAAAAAACAUUUUAAUUGGGCUUUUUAAUAUUUUACUGUUAAACCUUACAAGGACCUGUAUUUUAUCAACAUGUUUAGACAUAAAAACUAAAAUUGAUAUGUAUUUGCCUACUCAGUGGAAUUGCUUAUUUUGUACUCUAUACACAGAUGUUCUGCUGAUUUUACUUUAAAUGAUCAUCUGUCUCUCUGUUAAUGAUAAUAAACUCGUGCUACCCAUCAA